UCCAUAUAUAAUUCCACAUGUGUUAAUUCAUAGUUUUGAUGCCUUCAGUGUGAAUCUACAAUUUUCAGUCAUGGAAAUAAAGAAAACUCUUUGAAUGAGAAGGUGUGUCCAAACUUUUGUUCUGUACUGUAUAUAUAUAUAUA